GGCCUGACAACUUUAGGUCCAUAUCCAUCCCAGUCACCGGGUGACAGUGAAAAGGUAUGAAACUGGAGCUCUUUCUUGAGAUACUUUGUAAAAUGCAAACUGUGUCAAGCAGAGCCAGCACCAUGGACAGCUCUGAGUUGAGUGGUAGAAGGCUAUGUGACGUGUGUGUGUGUUUGCUGUAUUAUAUAUUGUUCUUGAAACAUGCUCCACUUUGUUCCAAAGCAGGGGGAAUUCAUCACACCUAUCCUUCCCAGCACAACGGAAGAAACAGAGAAGGAUUCCACAGAUGAUCCCUUACUGUCAAUGGAAAAGCAAGGGGAGUUUGAAGUCACAGCAGAAAGCACACUACAUGGAAUGAGCAAAGAGGUGAACACUUUUUCUUUGCCACUGUAUCUCUAGAUAUAGAAAAAUGAUAAAGACAACGGAUAGUAAAACAUGUCAUUUUCAUUUUGACCUUUGAACCAGGAAAUGUACAUACAGAAUUCUGUCCCAUAGUGGUCAUUACUGAUUAUAUGUCAAUGUUUCUUAGAGUGGCCUGACAACUUUAGGUCCAUAUCCAUCCCAGUCACCGGGUGACAGUGAAAAGGUAUGAAACUGGAGCUCUUUCUUGAGAUACUUUGUAAAAUGCA
rnacentral:lncRNA from 1 species